CAAGACCGGAGCUAUCAACCACUCAGCCACCUCUC
rnacentral:tRNA from 1 species